GACGGCGAGGAGGAGGCGCUCUGCCCCAUCUGCCUCGACGCCAUGGAGCCGGGCCGCGCCGUGCGCGUCCUCCCCAGCUGCAACCGUGCCUUCCGCCAGGACUGCGGCGAUCGAUGGCUGGCCAUCUCGCCUGGGUGGCCGCCCUGCUCAGCCGCUCGAGCCGCACGGUCGAGCUCGUCCGGCCGGACAGCGCCAUGUCCGCCUCCUGCAGGACGAUGGUGCGCGCGCUUUCGCGCUUGCCUUUGCGUGGCAAGGAGGACGGCGGCGAGUUCGCGUGCAAGUCCAUCCCUGCUGGCGCGAGUUGAUGCUGCCGCGUGCACUGCUCUCCUGCUGCCCAAGGCGGACGAGCGACGGGGCACGGCGAGUCACGCGAGAUGGCGAGGACUGCGGUGGGAUCAUCGUGGCGUCUUCCUCGCCUCGCCGUCGAGCUAG
rnacentral:rRNA from 1 species